UACGAAGGGGGCUAGCGUUGCUCGGAAUCACUGGGCGUAAAGGGUGCGUAGGCGGGUUUUUAAGUCAGGGGUGAAAUCCUGGAGCUCAACUCCAGAACUGCCUUUGAUACUGAAGAUCUUGAGGCUGGAAGAGGUUAGUGGAAUUCCCAGUGUAGAGGUGAAAUUCGUAGAUAUUGGGAAGAACACCAGUGGCGAAGGCGGCUAACUGGUCCAGAUCUGACGCUGAGGUGCGAAAGCGUGGGGAGCAAACAGG
rnacentral:rRNA from 1 species